UGACGCUCCUUGAAUGCACCACACUGUACCAUGUGCUGCUAGUCUGCCUUUGUAGCUGCUAAUAGCCAGCAUUUUUCCUUGUGUCCUCUCACCAGCAUCUCGUAGUUUUUGGUUUACUGCUGUGUGUGAAUGCCAGAAGAAAAUACUUCCUUCAUGAACCACUUCUCUGGGCCACAUAUGGGAACAAUGCUGCUCAGAUUGCUCCAACAACGCAGCCAAGGAGCUCCGGCACAAUCGCCAUGGAUUGAGUGACGCCGUGAGGUUAUUAGUCCAUGUUCUGAAACUUCACCCUACUCAUCUUCUCCACCUAUAAAUUACACCUUGUACUGAGCUGUACUCCUGUUACACCUGCAUGUGUAUGAGUACCCCAGUUACCCUGUAAACCAUGGUUACUGUAACUUUGUAUGUAUGUGUGCACUGCUUUUCAUUAAAAAGUAUGACUAAAACUCA